rnacentral:misc_RNA from 1 species
UGAAGUAAGCCCACCUACAACCAUACCUUAACUGAUCAGCGAUGCAGUUUUCAUUUACUUUCGUGCGACAGCUGCUGUCCGUGAUUGCUGGAUGGCAUCCGUAGAUUGAUGUUGUGACAAGUUAUCCCAUUUGGAUUAAUUGAAGAUUUAAUCCUUGCCAGUUAUCUUCGGACUACGCAGCUAUGGCGAAGAAAUUAAGAAAGUUUUUAAUCUUGUUAGAUAACGAAAGUUUGCUCUACUUUCCUGGUUCCUUUCUAACGGGCCGAGUUCUCGUGGAUUUGGACGAAGACACCGCUGUGACUGGCCUGUAUUUCCAUAUAGUAGGAGAAGGUGUUGUAAGACUUAGUGACAGAGGUAGUGGUAGCAGUUAUAAUGACAAAGAAAACUAUAUCGACUUCAGGAUGAAACUUCUUGGAGAAAGCAAUGGAAGAGGAGGAUCUGAGAGAACUGUUGAAUCGGAUCGCAUGAUCAUCCUGUCUCCCGGUGUACAUUCUUUUCCAUUCAAGUUAGGUUUGCCACUAGGAUUACCUUCAACUUUCCUUGGAAAGCACGGCUGGGUUCAAUAUUAUUGCAAGACAGCUUUGAAGGAACCGUCUGGGCUUACACAUAAAAAUCAACAAGUGUUCAUCGUUAUGAAUCCCAUAGAUUUAAACUUGGAACCACCUUUGUUAAUGCAACCUUUCCACUGUGAAAUAGAAGACACCCUAGGUAUACCUUGCCUAAAUUCUGGUCCCGUAUCCUGUAGAGUCAGACUAGAUAGAGGAGGUUAUGUACCUGGAGAAAGCAUCUGCAUUUUUGCAACUAUAGACAACGGAAGUAGAGUGACUAUAAAAAAGACUAAAGCCAUCCUCACAGAAACAAUUCAGUAUACGGCCAAAAGCAAGAUUGUACAGUCCGAAACAAGGGAGCUGGCAUCCCUUCAGAAGGGUCGAAUAGAUCCUGGAACUACAGAUCAUUGGAAGAAUGAAAUGCUCUAUAUCCCUCCCAUUCCUCCGACCAAUCUUCGGGGAUGUCAUCUUAUUAAAAUACAAUACGAUGUCUACUUUUUUCUCGAGCCAAAAGGAAUGGACAGGAUCCUUAAAUUACAGUUGCCAAUAAUGAUUGCCACGUAUCCUAUCCGAAACAAUGAUGGAACUCUACAAAGACGAAAAGGAACAAGCUAUCCCUCCACGCUACCAAUCUUCCGCCCAUGGUUGAACUCUGGAAAGAUCAAAUAAUGUAGUAAUAUGCGACUCAUGUUACGCAAGUGCUGCCACUCAAGUUUUCUCUAAACAAAUGCUUGCAUUGCGCUAAUUGUAUAACUUUUUUUAUGGACAGCUUGCUUCAAGAACUCAUAUUUGAAAUAAUGCCACAGCCAUUGUAACAGUAAGGGUAUACUUGCUUUAAGAUGUGGCAGUUUUCAAUCGUUUUUUAAAAGUCAACAAAAUAUCAAAGAAAAUUAAAUUAUUAUAUACUUCGGGAAAUCCUCCGACCGAACUGGAAUUUUUGAACUAAUAUCGAACAAGCAUAUUACAAAAAAGGUUGCAAAAAUAAAGAUCAGUCAAGGACUCUUGUGAUCCCGGUGGAUACUAUUACACAGAAAGGAUAUCAAGUGUCUGUAAUCCUACUGGAAAUUUAUUGGAGUUUAUAAGUAUUUUUAGAAGAAAAGAUAGUUUAAAAGAAAAAUUUACUAAUGUCACAUUCCAGUUUCUACUAUUUGUAGUAUAUUUUGUAUGAUAUCACAACUAAUUUUUGUACGAUUAUAUUGUUUUCUGUUUAAAAAUUCAAACUGCAUUCUUUUAUUUUAAAACAUUACUGUUUUUAGCAAAAUUUUAUUUAAUAGCUUUAACUUUGAAAUUUUGCAAAAUUGAAAAUUAUGUUAUUGCUUUAAUGAUACUAACUGCAUACAAUAACCUCUAAAAAUUGUUAAAAAUUUUAUAUUAAUUUUUGCCAAUUUAAAUUUAAAAAGGGAAUAUAAUUUUACUUUUAAAUUGGCUCUAAAUAACUGUUGAUUUUUGACAAUUUUUAAAGUGUUGCUACAUCUAAACCAGUGUUGUUAAAGUUUUGUGAACAUGUUUUGUCUGUAGGAAUAUGUAUUUUUACUCUCUUCUUGUUCUCUUGCAUAAGUCUAAUAGUCUGUUAAUAAAAUGGCUUAUAAAUAAUAAAAAUAUUUUAUAAUUGUU